AUUCUUGUGGCCAACAAAGAAUAAUGCAUAUAUAUUUGAGAGAGAUUUAUUUGUUGAAUAUCCGUUAUUUCUCAGUCUACAGCCUGAUAAAGCACACCAGCGAACAUGAUUUCUCUGAGUAGUUGAAGCAUGCAACUUUCAAGCUUUCUGCAAGUUGUGCAAUGAGCAGCUAAUAAAUGGUACAGACAACAAUACUUCAUGUUGUUUUCAAUCACAUUUAAACAGCAAGGCACAAAGCUAAUAAUCAAAAGACCCUCAACGACGGCUACCUGUCAACUUAUAUUAGACGCAUAAUCCCGACAACCUGAUACUCG
rnacentral:misc_RNA from 1 species